UGGGGAAUAUUGGACAAUGGGCGAAAGCCUGAUCCAGCCAUGCCGCGUGUGUGAAGAAGGUCUUCGGAUUGUAAAGCACUUUAAGUUGGGAGGAAGGGCAGUAAGCGAAUACCUUGCUGUUUUGACGUUACCGACAGAAUAAGCACCGGCUAACUCUGUGCCAGCAGCCGCGGUAAUACAGAGGGUGCAAGCGUUAAUCGGAAUUACUGGGCGUAAAGCGCGCGUAGGUGGUUCGUUAAGUUGAAUGUGAAAGCCCCGGGCUCAACCUGGGAACUGCAUCCAAAACUGGCGAGCUAGAGUAGGGCAGAGGGUGGUGGAAUUUCCUGUGUAGCGGUGAAAUGCGUAGAUAUAGGAAGGAACACCAGUGGCGAAGGCGACCACCUGGCCUCAUACUGACACUGAGUUGCGAAAGCGUGGGGAGCAAACAGG
rnacentral:rRNA from 1 species